UACACUCCUGCGGGGGCAGCAGUGGGGAAUUUUGGACAAUGGGGGCAACCCUGAUCCAGCAAUGCCGCGUGAGUGAAGAAGGCCUUCGGGUUGUAAAGCUCUUUUGUCAGGGAAGAAACGGUAGUAGCGAAUAACUAUUACUAAUGACGGUACCUGAAGAAUAAGCACCGGCUAACUACGUGCCAGCAGCCGCGGUAAUACGUAGGGUGCAAGCGUUAAUCGGAAUUACUGGGCGUAAAGCGUGCGCAGGCGGUUGUGUAAGUCAGAUGUGAAAUCCCCGGGCUCAACCUGGGAAUUGCAUUUGAGACUGCACGGCUAGAGUGUGUCAGAGGGGGGUAGAAUUCCACGUGUAGCAGUGAAAUGCGUAGAUAUGUGGAGGAAUACCGAUGGCGAAGGCAGCCCCCUGGGAUAACACUGACGCUCAUGCACGAAAGCGUGGGGAGCAAACAGGAUUAGAUACCCCUGUAGUCCCAUGAU
rnacentral:rRNA from 1 species